CUACCGGGGUAUCUAAUCCCGUUUGCUCCCCUAGCCUUCGCGCCUCAGCGUCAGGAGCUGUCCAGAGAUCCGCCUUCGCCACUGGUCUUCCUCACGAUAUCUACGCAUUUCACUGCUACACCGUGAAUUCCGAUCUCCUCUCCAGCCCUCUAGCAGAGCAGUAUCCAGUGCAAUUUCGGAGUUGAGCUCCGAGAUUUCACACCAGACUUACCCCACCGCCUACGCGCCCUUUACGCCCAAUGAAUCCGAACAACGCUUGAGACCUCUGUAUUACCGCGGCUGCUGGCAC
rnacentral:rRNA from 1 species